GUCCUUCGGGAUGCUGACGAGCGGCGGACGGGUGAGUAAUGCUUAGGAAUCUGCCCAGUAGUGGGGGAUAGCCCGGGGAAACCCGGAUUAAUACCGCAUACGCCCUACGGGGGAAAGCAGGGGAUCUUCGGACCUUGCGCUAUUGGAUGAGCCUAAGUCGGAUUAGCUAGUUGGUAGGGUAAGAGCCUACCAAGGCGACGAUCCGUAGCUGGUUUGAGAGGAUGAUCAGCCACAUCGGGACUGAGACACGGCCCGAACUCCUACGGGAGGCAGCAGUGGGGAAUAUUGGACAAUGGGGGCAACCCUGAUCCAGCCAUGCCGCGUGUGUGAAGAAGGCUUUCGGGUUGUAAAGCACUUUCAGUGAGGAGGAAAACCUUAAAAUUAAUACUUUUGAGGCUUGACGUUACUCACAGAAGAAGCACCGGCUAACUCCGUGCCAGCAGCCGCGGUAAUACGGAGGGUGCAAGCGUUAAUCGGAAUUACUGGGCGUAAAGCGCGCGUAGGUGGUUUGAUAAGCGAGAUGUGAAAGCCCCGGGCUUAACCUGGGAACGGCAUUUCGAACUGUCAGGCUAGAGUAUGGUAGAGGAGUGUGGAAUUUCCUGUGUAGCGGUGAAAUGCGUAGAUAUAGGAAGGAACACCAGUGGCGAAGGCGGCACUCUGGACCAAUACUGACACUGAGGUGCGAAAGCGUGGGUAGCAAACAGGAUUAGAUACCCUGGUAGUCCACGCCGUAAACGAUGUCAACUAGCCGUUGGGACUCUUGAAGUCUUAGUGGCGCAGCUAACGCACUAAGUUGACCGCCUGGGGAGUACGGCCGCAAGGUUAAAACUCAAAUGAAUUGACGGGGGCCCGCACAAGCGGUGGAGCAUGUGGUUUAAUUCGACGCAACGCGAAGAACCUUACCUGGCCUUGACAUCCAGAGAACUUUCCAGAGAUGGAUUGGUGCCUUCGGGAACUCUGUGACAGGUGCUGCAUGGCCGUCGUCAGCUCGUGUCGUGAGAUGUUGGGUUAAGUCCCGUAACGAGCGCAACCCCUAUCCCUGGUUGCUAGCAGGUAAAGCUGAGAACUCCAGGGAGACUGCCGGUGACAAACCGGAGGAAGGUGGGGAUGACGUCAGGUCAUCAUGGCCCUUACGGCCAGGGCUACACACGUGCUACAAUGGUGCGUACAGAGGGCUGCCAACUCGCGAGAGUGAGCCAAUCCCUUAAAACGCAUCGUAGUCCGGAUCGGAGUCUGCAACUCGACUCCGUGAAGUCGGAAUCGCUAGUAAUCGCGAAUCAGAAUGUCGCGGUGAAUACGUUCCCGGGCCUUGUACACACCGCCCGUCACACCAUGGGAGUGGAUUGCACCAGAAGUGGUUAGUCUAACC
rnacentral:rRNA from 1 species